ensembl:lncRNA
GGUGGAGCCCCGAGUAAAGCGAGCAACAGGAAAGUGAAGUCAAGUCUACGGCGGGAAUGGGAAAGGGCUUUAUCUGAGCCAAGCUGAGGGCUACGGCCCGAGACAUGGCCUCUCAGAUCACUCAGAAUCCGCUCCAGAGAAGCGGCUUUCAGCAGUUUCACGUCUCAACAGAACAAAAAAACAUUAAACAAGUCAGGGAUACAUCCCUUCAAGGUUUCAAAAGCAGAACAGAUCAGCCCGUGCACAGGGGGUCAGCAGGCCUUGGCACCUGGGAGGGGAGUCUUAUCAAAGGAGGACCAGCCUUGGGGUCCCAGGACGGGAGGCAUCUCAUCUUUAUUUUGAACAUGGACAUUCUUCGUUGGGCGGCUUCCCAGGCGACUCAGUGGUAAAGAACACCCCCCAGCCCCCAAUAAUGCAGGAGGCACAGAGUCACGGGUUCAGUCCCUGAGCCGGGAAGAUCCCCUGGAGGAGGAAAUGGCAAUCCACCCCAGUAUUCUUGUCUGGGAAAUCCCACGCACAGAGGAGCCGGGCAGGCCACAGUCCCUGGGGUUGCACAGUGGGACACGGCUGAGCAUGCGCAACAGUGGUGUUCUUUCCUUGUGGGCAGUGAGCCUUUUCCUGUUUGAGUUUAAGCAGCUGCACAAAGUAUGUUUGAUGGGCCACAAACAGGCUGUUCUAGUUGGUAUCAAAUUCAGGGUAACUCACAUACAAGUGGGGCUUCCCUGAUGGCUCAGUUGGUAAAGAACCCACCUGAAAUGCAGGAGAUCCCAGUUUUGGGUUCCAUCCCUGGGUCGGGAAGAUCUCCUGGACACAGGAACAGCUACCCACUCUAUAUGUGGACAUUUCUUUCAUCAACACCAACCCUGCACUGUGACGAAGAUGCUUGGCUGAAAGGGGAGGGUUUGCUAUCCCACACACUCAUGCACACAUACACACUCCCACACACACACAAGCACAUGCUCCCCCAACGGUCUGCCCAGGAAGCUGCCUCCAGCUGCCCUGGUCUCACGGAGUCUGCUCCCCCGAGGGCCUGGUGCUGGGCAGCCCUGCAGGGAGAGGAGGAGAGGAGGAGAGGACCCUCCAGACGGGGGCUGGCCUCACUGGGCAGCCCUGCAGGGAGAGGAGGAGAGGACCCUCCAGACGGGGGCUGGCCUCAGUGCUGCUUCCAGCAGCACUCCUCAGCAGAGCCACUCUGACCCCCGCUCACCCGGUGAUCCCCAGGGAUCCGGACGGACUCCAUCCCAGGGGCCUCAGCUUGCAGCUGGGGUGUGGGCUGGGCCCCUCCUCUGCCCCUCACGCUCUGUGGACACCCCCCUCACCAGCACCCCUCCCCCCGACCUCCACUCCAG